UAUGCACAGAUUGCGUAGAAAUUGCUUUUUAGAUUUCAAAGAUCCAUGGCCAACAAAGAAAUUAUUGAUAGGCCUAUAUCACAUUGCUGUUUGGGACACCUACCCAAAGUCCAAGCUCUUGUUAAAGAAUUGAUUUUAUUUAUAUACAUUCUUGCUGGCGUUAAAUAUUUAUUAUCAGUUUUGCAAUUAAUCUUUACUUUCUUUGUAUUAAUGAUGGAUUGGUAGUCCUUUUGUAGACUUCUUUGUAUAAUUGGGAAUUCAACAAAAUUGUCAUCAAAGUUGUGUAAUGACUUUUUAAGCAUAAUAAAUCACUCAACGAAGCUGUUUUAAAGGGAAAGAGUCGCACUUCACAGAGGAAAGUUGGGCUAAAGGAUAAAUGAAACUGAAAUAAAAACUCAUCCAUCCGUGAAGGGACCCCGCCAUUGGUUUCACGCUCAUAUUCACCGGCGCAUUCACUGUGUACACACGACGCUCGACUAAUAGUGAACUCGCACAAAAAAGCAAUAUUAAAUCUGUUUUUGAUAAUGUGGUCACUUCCCGGGGACAACAAGCACGGUAUUGUGGUCGUACUUACUGUUCUCUGUGUCGGGCAUUAUGUGUAUUGGUACGAAGACAUUAACUCGGGUCUCCACAAAAGAAAAGCUAUUGUACGCUCAACUAACAAUAAUUUCAGUCUGGUAAAAGCAA